GAGAUGUGGGACUACGCCCCGUCCGGCAGGAAUAGAUAUGACGGCGGCGACCUGACAGAGGAGGGGAGUGAUUCAGAAGUGUUCUUCAAGAAGGACUCCUCGAAUAUUAGCGGCGUUUACAAGAAAGCGCUGUUCAAGGAGUACACCGACUGCAUGUUUAACCAGCAGAAGACACGGGACGUCAACGAGGCGCACCUGGGUUUCUUGGGCCCUGUGAUCCGGGCCGAGGUCGGCGACCUGGUCAAGGUCGUUCUCUACAACAAAGCCUCUCGCGCUUACUCUAUCCAUCCCCACGGCGUGCAAUACAGCAAACUGAGUGAAGGCUCCCUCUACAACGACGGCAUCUACGGGAAGUACGAUGACU